rnacentral:rRNA from 1 species
AUUGAACGCUGGCGGCAGGCUUAACACAUGCAAGUCGAGCGGAGACGAGGUGCUUGCACCUUAUCUUAGCGGCGGACGGGUGAGUAAUGCUUAGGAAUCUGCCUAUUAGUGGGGGACAACAUUCCGAAAGGAAUGCUAAUACCGCAUACGUCCUACGGGAGAAAGCAGGGGACCUUCGGGCCUUGCGCUAAUAGAUGAGCCUAAGUCGGAUUAGCUAGUUGGUGGGGUAAAGGCCUACCAAGGCGACGAUCUGUAGCGGGUCUGAGAGGAUGAUCCGCCACACUGGGACUGAGGCACGGCCCAGACUCCUACGGGAGGCAGCAGUGGGGAAUAUUGGACAAUGGGCGGAAGCCUGAUCCAGCCAUGCCGCGUGUGUGAAGAAGGCCUUUUGGUUGUAAAGCACUUUAAGCGAGGAGGAGGCUACUUAGAUUAAUACUCUAGGAUAGUGGACGUUACUCGCAGAAUAAGCACCGGCUAACUCUGUGCCAGCCGCCGCGGUAAAAC